rnacentral:rRNA from 1 species
GGUUACCCGCUGAACUUAAGCAUAUCAAU